AGUAAAGUCAGCUAAUAUUAAGCUUUUGGGCCCAUACCCCAAGAAUGUUGGUUAAAAUCCUUCCUUUACUA
rnacentral:tRNA from 1 species